UACGUAGGGUGCGAGCGUUGUCCGGAAUUAUUGGGCGUAAAGAGCUCGUAGGCGGCCUGUCGCGUCGGAUGUGAAAGCCCGGGGCUUAACCCCGGGUCUGCAUUCGAUACGGGCAGGCUAGAGUGUGGUAGGGGAGAUCGGAAUUCCUGGUGUAGCGGUGAAAUGCGCAGAUAUCAGGAGGAACACCGGUGGCGAAGGCGGGCCUCUGGGCCGAUACUGACGCUGAGGAGCGAAAGCGUGGGGAGCAAACAGG
rnacentral:rRNA from 1 species